rnacentral:rRNA from 1 species
AGAGUUUGAUCCUGGCUCAGAUUGAACGCUGGCGGCAGGCCUAACACGUGCAAGUCGAGCGGUAGCACAGAGAGCUUGCUCUCGGGUGACGAGCGGCGGACGGGUGAGUAAUGUCUGGGAAACUGCCUGAUGGAGGGGGAUAACUACUGGAAACGGUAGCUAAUACCGCAUAACGUCGCAAGACCAAAGUGGGGGACCUUCGGGCCUCAUGCCAUCAGAUGUGCCCAGAUGGGAUUAGCUAGUAGGUGGGGUAACGGCUCACCUAGGCGACGAUCCCUAGCUGGUCUGAGAGGAUGACCAGCCACACUGGAACUGAGACACGGUCCAGACUCCUACGGGAGGCAGCAGUGGGGAAUAUUGCACAAUGGGCGCAAGCCUGAUGCAGCCAUGCCGCGUGUAUGAAGAAGGCCUUCGGGUUGUAAAGUACUUUUCAGCGGGGAGGAAGGGAGUAAAGUUAAUACCUUUGCUCAUUGACGUUACCCGCAGAAGAAGCACCGGCUAACUCCGUGCCAGCAGCCGCGGUAAUACGGAGGGUGCAAGCGUUAAUCGGAAUUACUGGGCGUAAAGCGCACGCAGGCGGUCUGUCAAGUCGGAUGUGAAAUCCCCGGGCUCAACCUGGGAACUGCAUUCGAAACUGGCAGGCUAGAGUCUUGUAGAGGGGGGUAGAAUUCCAGGUGUAGCGGUGAAAUGCGUAGAGAUCUGGAGGAAUACCGGUGGCGAAGGCGGCCCCCUGGACAAAGACUGACGCUCAGGUGCGAAAGCGUGGGGAGCAAACAGGAUUAGAUACCCUGGUAGUCCACGCCGUAAACGAUGUCGAUUUGGAGGUUGUGCCCUUGAGGCGUGGCUUCCGGAGCUAACGCGUUAAAUCGACCGCCUGGGGAGUACGGCCGCAAGGUUAAAACUCAAAUGAAUUGACGGGGGCCCGCACAAGCGGUGGAGCAUGUGGUUUAAUUCGAUGCAACGCGAAGAACCUUACCUGGUCUUGACAUCCACAGAACUUUCCAGAGAUGGAUUGGUGCCUUCGGGAACUGUGAGACAGGUGCUGCAUGGCUGUCGUCAGCUCGUGUUGUGAAAUGUUGGGUUAAGUCCCGCAACGAGCGCAACCCUUAUCCUUUGUUGCCAGCGGUUAGGCCGGGAACUCAAAGGAGACUGCCAGUGAUAAACUGGAGGAAGGUGGGGAUGACGUCAAGUCAUCAUGGCCCUUACGACCAGGGCUACACACGUGCUACAAUGGCAUAUACAAAGAGAAGCGACCUCGCGAGAGCAAGCGGACCUCAUAAAGUAUGUCGUAGUCCGGAUUGGAGUCUGCAACUCGACUCCAUGAAGUCGGAAUCGCUAGUAAUCGUAGAUCAGAAUGCUACGGUGAAUACGUUCCCGGGCCUUGUACACACCGCCCGUCACACCAUGGGAGUGGGUUGCAAAAGAAGUAGGUAGCUUAACCUUCGGGAGGGCGCUUACCACUUUGUGAUUCAUGACUGGGGUGAAGUCGUAACAAGGUAACC